UUUUUUUACGUUACAUAU
rnacentral:snRNA from 1 species